rnacentral:snRNA from 1 species
AUACGUACCUGGUGCCGGGACCUCCUUGAUCACCGAGGACGAGCCCCCAGGGCAAGGCGCGAGCAUGGCACUGCCCUCACGGUGACCACCACCACUGCCCCAAAGUGGGGCAGAUGGGGCAUGCAAAUUGCUUAAAUUCGGUUCAACGCAAGAGAGGGCGCUGUAACCGGC